rnacentral:rRNA from 1 species
GACGAACGCUAGCGGCGUGCUUAACACAUGCAAGUCGAACGAUGAAGCCGGAGCUUGCUCUGGUGAAUUAGUGGCGAACGGGUGAGUAACACGUGAGUAACCUGCCCUUGACCCUGGGAUAACUGCGGGAAACUGUAGCUAAUACCGGAUACGACCCUCGGAGGCAUCUCCUGGGGGUGGAAAGAAUUUCGGUCGAGGAUGGACUCGCGGCCUAUCAGCUAGUUGGUGAGGUAAAGGCUCACCAAGGCGACGACGGGUAGCCGGCCUGAGAGGGUGACCGGCCACACUGGGACUGAGACACGGCCCAGACUCCUACGGGAGGCAGCAGUGGGGAAUAUUGCACAAUGGGCGCAAGCCUGAUGCAGCAACGCCGCGUGAGGGAUGAAGGCCUUCGGGUUGUAAGCCUCUUUUAGCAGGGAAGAAGCGAAAGUGACGGUACCUGCAGAAAAAGCACCGGCUAACUACGUGCCAGCCGCCGCGGUAA